rnacentral:rRNA from 1 species
CCUACGGGCGGCAGCAGUGGGGAAUAUUGGACAAUGGGCGAAAGCCUGAUCCAGCCAUGCCGCGUGUGUGAAGAAGGCCUUCGGGUUGUAAAGCACUUUCAGUGGGGAAGAAAGCCUUGGGGCUAAUACCCUCGAGGAAGGACAUCACCCACAGAAGAAGCACCGGCUAACUCCGUGCCAGCAGCCGCGGUAAUACGGAGGGUGCGAGCGUUAAUCGGAAUUACUGGGCGUAAAGCGCGCGUAGGCGGUCUGAUAAGCCGGUUGUGAAAGCCCCGGGCUCAACCUGGGAACGGCAUCCGGAACUGUCAGGCUAGAGUGCAGGAGAGGAAGGUAGAAUUCCCGGUGGAGCGGUGAAAUGCGUAGAGAUCGGGAGGAAUACCAGUGGCGAAGGCGGCCUUCUGGACUGACACUGACGCUGAGGUGCGAAAGCGUGGGUAGCAAACAGGAUUAGAUACCCGAAGUAGUC